GGGAGGGGGUGGGCUUAGCCUCACAAUGGGCUAGCAAUAAUAUGAUUCAAUGAGUUGUUUAUUAAAUAUUAUUUUCUCUAUUUUUAAACACGUUCAAAACCUCUUAAGAGGCGUGUAAUGCCGGUUAUAAAAAAAAAGUCUUUCAUACAUGGAUAAUAAUGUGAUUCAAUCAAUUGUUUAUUAAAUAUUAUUUUCUCUAUUCUUAAUGUAAAUUCUAUAAAGACCGAUUUUAUUAUGUGAAUUCAACUGCUUUAAUUGGUUUAUGAGGGGUUUCUUCUAGCAUGUUCUAAGAUUAUUCAUUUACUUCAAAUAUUGACUUUCCUUUUGUCAAUUUACGCAUAUAAAUACAUUUAAAAAGUGUAGGUCGCGCGUAGCACGCCAUAAUUAAAAAAAUGUCUUCGUCAUUUUAAUUAGUUUUUUUGUGCUGUUUUUUUUUUAAUUAGUACCUCAUAAUAGGCUUGCAAUAAUGUGAUUUAAUUUCUCUAUUUUAAAACACAUUCAAAACAUAUUAAGAGGUGUAUAAUGCCGGUUAUAAAAAUGGUCUUUCACACGCGGAUAAUAAUAUGAUUAAAUUACUUGUCAAAUGAUUUUUUUUUAACAAACAAUAUUAUCUACAUUAAGGGGGAGGGGUGGGCUUAGCCUCACAAUGGGCUAGCAAUAAUAUCAUUCAACCAGCUGUUUAUUAAAUAUUAUUUUCUCUACUUUUAAACACGUUCAAAACAUCUUAAGAGACGUGUAAUGCCGGUUAUAAAAAAAGGUCUUCCGCAUGUGGAUAAUAAUGUGAUUAAAUUAGUUGUCAAAUGAUUUAUUUAUUUUUUAAUAAACGAUAUUACCUACACUAAGGGGGAGGGGGUGGGCUUUUUCUUACAAUGGGCUAGCAAUAAUAUGAUUCAAUCAAUUGUUUAUUAAAUAUUAUUUUCUCUAUUCUUAAUGUAAAUUCUAUAAAGAUCAAUUUUAUUAUGUGAAUUCAUCUGCUUUAAUUGGUUUAUGAGGGGUUUCUUUUAGCAUGAUCUAAGAUUAUUCAUUUACUUCAAAUAUUUGACUUUCCUUUUGUCAAUUUACGCAUAUAAAUACAUUUAAAACAUGUAAGUCGUGUGUAACACGCCGUGAUUCAAAAAAUGUCUUCUACACACGUGUGAAUGAGUGCAUGAAGGCUAGUAGUAUAGUAUGAUAUAUGGAGAUUAUUGCUUCCUUUCUUUUGGCGUCAAAUAGUAUAUAGUAUCUUAACAUGGCUAUGGAAAUUAUUUAAAAAUGCUAUAUUCUUACGCAUAUUUCCUAAAAUACACCACGACGAUCCAUAAGGCUCAACACGACAACGAAAGGACCGACACUACCUUCAUGGGGCACCACCGUGGCAGCCACCACAGCAGCAACCACCGUAGUAGCCCAUAGUAAGCCCACUGACCAAGGAAAACAGGCCACCAUGCAAUAGCAGACUCAGGUCCGUGCCACAAGGCAACCAGGCCAGCACGAAGCAACCCACACCCAGCAGGCCUACAAUUUUGCAAUGGC
rnacentral:lncRNA from 1 species